GGCCCUUUAGCUCAAUGGUUAGAGCAGGCGACUCAUAAUCGCUUGGUCGCUGGUUCAAGUCCAGCAGGGGCCACCA
rnacentral:tRNA from 4 species